GAUGAACGCUGGCGGCGUGCCUAAUACAUGCAAGUCGAGCGAACAGACGAGGAGCUUGCUCCUCUGACGUUAGCGGCGGACGGGUGAGUAACACGUGGAUAACCUACCUAUAAGACUGGGAUAACUUCGGGAAACCGGAGCUAAUACCGGAUAAUAUAUUGAACCGCAUGGUUCAAUAGUGAAAGACGGUUUUGCUGUCACUUAUAGAUGGAUCCGCGCCGCAUUAGCUAGUUGGUAAGGUAACGGCUUACCAAGGCAACGAUGCGUAGCCGACCUGAGAGGGUGGUCGGCCACACUGGAACUGAGACACGGUCCAGACUCCUACGGGAGGCAGCAGUGGGGAAUCUUCCGCAAUGGGCGAAAGCCUGACGGAGCAACGCCGCGUGAGUGAUGAAGGUCUUCGGAUCGUAAAACUCUGUUAUUAGGGAAGAACAAAUGUGUAAGUAACUAUGCACGUCUUGACGGUACCUAAUCAGAAAGCCACGGCUAACUACGUG
rnacentral:rRNA from 1 species